rnacentral:rRNA from 1 species
GGCUMGUUAAUGGGCCGUUCUUUCGACAGCGGGCUCCUUCGGGGGCUUGCGACGCCACCAAAAUGCGGGAAUUGCUUGGCCAUUCGCGCCUGGUGAAUCCGCAGCCAGCCAGCCGCUGGUUCAACGACUAAAUAGUACAGGCCGCUAAACAGCGGCUGARAUAUAGUCUGAACACCUGGAGAGAUUCAGGCGUCCCUUGCAUUAAAUCAGUUAUCGUUUAUUUGAUAGUACCUCACUACUUGGAUAACCGUGGUAAUUCUAGAGCUAAUACAUGCUAAAAACCCCGACUUCGGAAGGGGUGUAUUUAUUAGAUAAAAAACCAAUGCCCUCCGGGGCUCCUUGGUGAUUCAUAAUAACUUAACGAAUCGCAUGGCCUUGCGCCGGCRAUGGUUCAUUCAAWUUUCUGCCCUAUCAACUUUCGAUGGUAGGAUAGUGGCCUACCAUGGKGGCAACGGGUAACGGGGAAUUAGGGUUCUAUUCCGGAGAGGGAGCCUGAGAAACGGCUACCACAUCCAAGGAAGGCAGCAGGCGCGCAAAUUACUCAWUCCCRACACGGGGAAGUAGUGACAAUAAAUACUGAUACAGGGCUCUUUUGGGUCUUGUAAUUGGAAUGAGUACAAUUUAAAUCCCUUACGAUUCUGUUAGGGGAUUUCUCGAGUCGUCUGCUGAUGGCAACACCCUCUGUCUACGAGGAUCACCCCCCCCGGGGGUGAGAUUCGCAGCUCGACCUGCGGUCGAGCCAAGAGACUAAAUCAGGGUGGGUGGUCAGGCCMACUUUAUAAUAUAGCCCACCCCCCCCGCGACCGCGGGGGGUCACCGUGUAACGAGGAACAAUUGGAGGGCAAGUCUGGUGGACCAGCUGGCGCCAGACCACACAGGUGGGCCACCUCGCCGAGGUGGCCCGCCAGGCAUCCGGUACGGGRAARAGCCUCARGGCUUCAUCCGKGGCGAGGGGCGACC